GACGAACGCUGGCGGCGUGCUUAACACAUGCAAGUCGAACGGAAAGGCCCUGCUUGCAGGGUACUCGAGUGGCGAACGGGUGAGUAACACGUGGGUGAUCUGCCCUGCACUUCGGGAUAAGCCUGGGAAACUGGGUCUAAUACCGGACAGGAGCCAUUUUUAGUGUGAUGGUUGGAAAGUUUUUUCGGUGUAGGAUGAGCUCGCGGCCUAUCAGCUUGUUGGUGGGGUAAUGGCCUACCAAGGCGGCGACGGGUAGCCGGCCUGAGAGGGUGGACGGCCACAUUGGGACUGAGAUACGGCCCAGACUCCUACGGGAGGCAGCAGUGGGGAAUAUUGCACAAUGGGCGCAAGCCUGAUGCAGCGACGCCGCGGGGGGGAUGACGGCCUUCGGGUUGUAAACUCCUUUCGCUAGGGACGAAGCUUUUUGUGACGGUACCUAGAGAAGAAGCACCGGCUAACUACGUG
rnacentral:rRNA from 1 species